UUCAUAUCAUAUAGAGCAGGUGUCGAUGUCCGUGAAAGCGGAAUCGGCUUAAAAGGGAAGCCGGUGAGAAUCCGGCACGGUCCCGCCACUGUAAGCGAGGAGUUUUUUCCGUAUCGCGUACGCCACUGUUGCCAAGUCAAUGGGAAGGCUGCGGAAAAAGCAACGAGACGCAAGUCAGGAGACCUGCCCGCUCUGUUGCGGCUGU
rnacentral:ncRNA from 2 species